rnacentral:lncRNA from 1 species
AGUACUUCUCUCUGCACUAACAGUAGCCUACGCUAGACAUCAAAGAUCUUAGUAGGUGGCGUGUCAUAAUCAUAAAUUCGCAUACUGUCGUUCAUUUUGCCAAAACCUUCCAUCAGAGAAAUACCAAUGGACACUUCCCAAGCUCGAGCUGGCGGCCUCCACUCAGUAGGCCAACCUGAGUUCCCUCUACUUACGAUAAGGAACCUCAUCGAGUAAAGUCUGUGAGCAUUUUUUACAGACUCGAAAGUCCGCCUAGAGAUACAUUAGCUGCCGUACCAGUCCAGCAUGGACUGGUUCCUGAUAAUAGCCUCCAACCCAAUGAAAUCUUUCAUGAGUGCUCUUGAUAGUUGUUCUUCUUUUAUCUGGAAAAGCAUAUUGCAGUGGCAAGAACUUAUACUAAAAGGGACUAGAUGGCCUGUGGGAGAAGACGCCAAUAUUAGCAUUUAUGAGGAUCCAUGGCUGUCGCCUAGAUUCUUUGUUCCAACCUAUUUCCAAUUCUAGGGCUGAGGCCUGGUUCCAGGUUUGAUGAAUGAUUGUAGCGGUUGAGAUGAUGCAUUGAUUGAAAACAAUUAUGUCCCGAUGGAUAGUGACGUCAUCCGAGGCAUCCCUUUGAGUACUAUGGGUUGAUCGGCUCAAUUGGUACUAUGAGAGUAUCUCCAAUGUAGUGUAAAAUUGGAUGUAAAAUAAUAACUCCAAAACCACUUUUCAUCUUCAUUUAGAUCUCUCGGUGAAUCUAAAUUCAAAUUCUAUUUCAAUGAAAAGAUCUAAAUCCACUUUUUACCUCGCGGAUGUAGAAAAAUGUGUAUAUUUACAUCAUUUUUACAUUUUGUCGGAAAAUAUAACUUGCAUCUCUCCAUUGGAGAGGUUUUCGGAGAUCUAAAUCUCCAUUUUUACACUACCAUUGGAGAUGAUAGGAGAAGAAUCAAGUAUAUACUAUCAAAAGUGAAUAUCGGGGUUCAAUCAGUUACCCCUGACCUGGAUUGACAAAGCUCCAACAGCCUAUCUCAUUGGUGGAAAACUCUGGAAACCAUUCUCUCGGCAAAAAUUAGGAUCUUUAUCCGAAUAUUUUCUAACUUUUCCCUACGUACUAUUUCAAAAUUGACAGGUAGAAAUUUGCAUGGUUCAUUGCAGCGUCCCUUAUGUCGCUGAAUUUAACUUGCACGUGUUCUUUCAAUGUCACUUGAGUGGAGAAAUUUAUCAGGCUUCAGAGUUACUAGUUUGAGUUGGCAUGCAACCUGCUGUGGACCUGUGGUCUAUUUGGUAAGGGCAAAAAAAUCCAGUAAGAGGCAGCCGGCUGAGGCGCAGUUGGUGGCAGCCAAAGUCCGUGGCAGGCCAAUCCUUCUAGUUGUAUUCCUAAGGCUCGAUCAGCUAAUGAAACCUGGUUGAGGGCUUAGACAAAAUGUGAAUGCCACGGUGUGGAUGUAAGAUGGUUUAAUUUUCAAUAACAG